rnacentral:misc_RNA from 1 species
GCGGCCGAAGGCGAGCGCAGUGACUGGGGCGAAGUCGUAACAAGGUAGCCGUAGGGGAACCUGCGGCUGGAUCACCUCCUUACGAGACGACGAGUAAGCGAACGACGGCCGGCGCAAGUCGGUCCGAGCGCGCGGAAAGUCCUCGAAGUCGCACGCCUCGACAUCAGAUUCAUCCCGAUCGAUAUCAGCUCUGCGCGCUCCGGCGCGCCGGGCGGUUUUUUUUCGCCGCUCGUUGCUGUUUGACUACGGAAGGGGGG